rnacentral:rRNA from 1 species
AUUGAACGCUGGCGGCAGGCCUAACACAUGCAAGUCGAGCGAGCGGCGGACGGGUGAGUAAUGUAUGGGGACCGCCCGAUAGAGGGGGAUAACUACUGGACACGGUUGCUAAUACAGCAUACUAUCGGAUAACCCAUAUGUGAUUAGCUAGUAGGUGGGGUAAUGGCUCACCUAGGCGACGAUCCCUAUCUGGUAUGAGAGGAUGAGCAGCAACACUGGAACUGGGAGACGGCCCAGAUUACUACGGAGGCAGCAGUGGGGAAUAUUGCACAAUGGGCGCAAGCCUGAUGCAGCCAUGCCGCGUGUAUGAAGAAGGCCCUAGGGUUGGAAAGUACGUUCAGUCGGGAGGCGUUACCGGCAGAAGAAGCACCGGCUAACUCCGUGCCAGCAGCCGCGGUAAUUC